rnacentral:rRNA from 1 species
UACGUAGGGUGCGAGCGUUGUCCGGAAUUAUUGGGCGUAAAGAGCUCGUAGGCGGUCUGUCGCGUCGGCUGUGAAAACUUGGGGCUCAACCCCAAGCCUGCAGUCGAUACGGGCAGACUAGAGUGCGGUAGGGGAGACUGGAAUUCCUGGUGUAGCGGUGAAAUGCGCAGAUAUCAGGAGGAGCACCGGUGGCGAAGGCGGGUCUCUGGGCCGUAACUGACGCUGAGGAGCGAAAGCGUGGGGAGCGAACAGG